AUAUAGUAGUUUCUUAACAGAGAAAACGUAUAUAGACAGUCUCGAAGCAGCAGCAGUAAGAUAACUAAGUACAUGUUUUCUAAUCAUAAAUAAAGAAACACAGCAAUCGUUAUAGAAACGAGUUCGGAUAUUCUCAAAUAUGUAUUAUAUAAAUAUAUCGUUGAGUAGAUAGACGUGAUACCGGGGAUUUCGUUGAGUUUACAUGUACAAAUGGGGUUUCUUCUCAACCUCUGAAGUUCCUCAGUUUCUCUCGACAGCUGGGAAGCCGGUGUACGCGUAAAUUCUUCUCUUCGAGAUGUAAGAGAAAACUUUGUCCGAAA